rnacentral:rRNA from 1 species
UUACACAUGCAGUCGAGCGGCAGCGCGGGGGCACCCUGGCGGCGAGCGGCGAACGGGUAGUAAUACAUCGGAACGUGUCCUGUCGUGGGGGAUAGCCCGGCGAAAGCCGGAUUAAUACCGCAUGAGAUCGAGAGAUGAAAGCAGGGGACCUGGGGGUAACUUCGGGCCUUGCGCGAUUGGAGCGGCCGAUGUCCGAUUAGCUAGUUGGUGAGGUAACGGCUCACCAAGGCGACGAUCGGUAGCUGGUCUGAGAGGACGACCAGCCACACUGGGACUGAGACACGGCCCAGACUCCUACGGGAGGCAGCAGUGGGGAAUUUUGGACAAUGGGGGCAACCCUGAUCCAGCCAUGCCGCGUGUGUGAUGAAGGCCUUCGGGUUGUAAAGCACUUUCGGGCGGAACGAAAUCGCGCGGGCGAAUAUCCCGCGUGGAUGACGGUACCGUAAGAAGAAGCACCGGCUAACUACGUGCCAGCAGCCGCGGUAAUACGUAGGGUGCGAGCGUUAAUCGGAAUUACUGGGCGUAAAGGGUGCGCAGGCGGCUUCGCAAGUCAGACGUGAAAUCCCCGAGCUUAACUUGGGAAUUGCGUUUGAAACUACGAGGCUGGAGUGUGGCAAGGGAGGUGGAAUU